CCUACGGGAGGCAGCAGUGAGGAAUAUUGGUCAAUGGGCGGGAGCCUGAACCAGCCAAGCCGCGUGAGGGAUGAAGGUCCUACGUAUUGUAAACCUCUUUUGUCAGGGAACAAAGGCGGGCACGCGUGCCCUGCUGCGGGUACCUGAAGAAAAAGCAUCGGCUAACUCCGUGCCAGCAGCCGCGGUAAUACGGAGGAUGCGAGCGUUAUCCGGAUUUAUUGGGUUUAAAGGGUGCGCAGGCGGACUGUUAAGUCAGCGGUAAAAGCUCGGGGCUCAACCCCGUCCGGCCGUUGAAACUGGGGGGCGUGAGUGGGAGAGAAGUAUGCGGAAUGCGUGGUGUAGCGGUGAAAUGCAUAGAUAUCGCGCAGAACCCCGAUUGCGAAGGCAGCGUACCGGGGCAAAACUGACGCUGAGGCACGAAAGCGUGGGUAUCGAACAGGAUUAGAUACCCGUGUAGUC
rnacentral:rRNA from 1 species